rnacentral:rRNA from 1 species
UACGGGGGGAGCAAGCGUUGUUCGGAUUUACUGGGCGUAAAGGGCGCGUAGGCGGCUCAUGAAGGCUGUGGUGAAAGUCCGGGGCUCAACCUCGGAUCGGCCGUGGCGACUCGUGGGCUGGAGCACUGUAGAGGCGGGUGGAAUUCCUGGUGUAGCGGUGGAAUGCGCAGAUAUCAGGAGGAACACCAAUAGCGAAGGCAGCUCGCUGGGACGUUACUGACACUGAGGCGCGAAAGCGUGGGGAGCGAACAGGG